UUUAAAUGUCUCUUUUUUAAAAAAAUAUGCAAACUAUGAAUAUUUAGAAUGAAAAUUGAAAAAUUGCACACUUUUGAUCUUAUUUAUUAGUUGAAAGUUGUACAACAAAUAAGAUCUUCACGUUUCGUAAACUUUUUCGGUUUUUAUCCAGCUACAAGGCAACGAAGGUUAUGUGUGUGGGAGAAUUUCAGUUCCUUCGCUGCCUCGCACCCACACAGCUUAGUGGGAACAGUGUCAGGGUGCAGGUUAGACAGAGUGAAGUUCCCUCUACACGGCUCAUUCCCAGCUCCCAGGGUCAAACACAGAGUGUAGGUCCCUCUACUCCCUCUCCCAGGGGACAGAGUGAAGCCUUUACAACAUCCCAUCACUCACUCCCAGGGUCAAACACAGAGUGUAAAUCCCUCUACACCAUUCCAUCACUCACUCCCACAGGACAGAGUGAAGCCUUUACAACAUCCCAUAACUCACUCCCAGGGUGAGACACAGAGAGACAUUCUCUCUACACCAUUCCAUCACUGACUACCAGGGCACAGGUUAAACACUGAAUGAAGUUCUCUCACACUGUCCCUUCAAACACUUCCAGGGCACAAGUUAAACGCAGGAAGUUCCCUCUACACUCCCAUCACACACUCCCAAGGCACAGUUGAAUUACUGAGUGAAACUCCUUCAGCACUCUCCCAUCACACAUUCCCGGGAUAAUGACAACACAGGUUGGACAUAGAGAGAAUUUCCCUCAACGCUGUCACAUCACACACUGGACACAGAAUGAAGUCCCUUCUACACUGCCCAUCACACACUCCCAGAAUACAGGUUAGAUACAGAGUGGAGCUCUACAUUCGUCACAUGACGUGCUCCCUCAAUUCUGGCACAGUUGUGUCACCAGGGGGACCCCUUGACAUCAGAGCUGAGGGGGAUACAGAGGCAGUUUGUCAUGACAUGCAUUGGCCACGAAUGAACCCAGCUGCGGAGGAAUGACAGAGUCCCACGUAGAGACGGAAACAAGAGAUUAUACAUAGGAAUUCAACAGAACACCAGCAGCUCAACCAAGCAAUACCGUGAGACAAAUCAUUCUCAAAACGAGGACCCUGCGAUAAGCUCUAAUCAGGAGUCCACUUUAAAUAGUCACAGUACGCAGAAAACCUGUGCCAGUCAAAAUAAACUUGACAGGAUUAAACAGAAAACACAAUGGCUCAAUCUCUCUAGUUAAGACAACAAUUCACAAAUCAAGGUGCUCCAGAAGCCCUGGAGCCCACCUCGUCACACAAACCCGGAGGACUCAGUUCCAUAGGCUAGUCAUUCUGUGAAGAAACUCCUCUUAGUCUCAGUCCUAAGUAUCUUGCUCUGUGUCCUGAGAUCCCCUCAGUCUAGCAACACCAGCCAAAGGGAAACAACCACCCUGUUGAAGCCUGUCUCAAGGGAGGACUCAGCCUGAAACAUCCAAGGUCCAUUUCCCUCAGCUGGCCUGCUGAGCUCCUCCAGCAGAAUGUCUAUUGCUCUAUAUUCCAGAGUGUCAAAGUUCAAAGCAAAUUUAUUAUCAAAGUACAUACAUGCCACCAAAUACAAACCUGAGAUUCAUUUUCCUGCAGACAUACACAGUAAAUCCAAAAAAACAUAAUAGAAUCUCUGAAAGACAACUGGUCGGACAAACAGCCAUUGUGCAAAAGAUGACAAUCUGUGCAAAUAUGAAAGAGAAAAAUUAAAUAAUAAUACAUAAAUAAAUAAGCAAUAAAUAUUGAGAACUUGAGAUGAAGAGUCCUUGAAAGUGAGUCCAUAGGUUGUUGGAACAUUUCAGUGAUGGGGCAAGUGAAGUUGUGUGAUGUUAUCCCCUUUGGUUCAAGGGCCUGACGGUUGAGGGGUGAUAACGGUUCCUGCACCUGGUGGUGUGAGUCCUGAGGCUCCUGAUGGCAGCAGUGAGAAGAGAGCAUGGCCUGAUGAUGGAUUCUGUUUCCUGCGACAGCACUCUGUGUAGAUAUGCUGAAUGGUGGGGGGGGGGGGGCUUUCCCUGUGAUGGACUUGGCUGUAUCCACUACUUCUUGUAGGAUUUUCCAUUCAGGAGCAUUGGUGUUUCAUACCAAGCUGUGAUGUAGCUAGUCAAUAUACUCUCCACCACAGAUUUAAAAAAUUUGCAGUCUCUUGUGUCCCAGAGGUGGCCACCCGACAACAAUUAAGCUCCCGAGCCGUCGUGAAUAACUUCAGUCACCCCAGCACCGAACUGAUUCCAGAGUCUAUGGACUCACUUUGGACGACUCACCUGCUCAUGUUCUCAAUUUUAUUUACUUCCUUUUUCAUUUGCACAGUUCAUCUUCUUUAGUACAGCCUUUCUUAAUGUUUAGUUUUCAUAAAUUCUACUGUAUUUCUUUAUUUUCCUGAAGUGAGGGAAUCUCAGGGUUGUAUAUGGUGACACAUGCAAGAAGAACUUUGAUAAUAAAUUGACUGACUGUAAUACGGCUAAACACUUCCCUUGUUCCUCCCCCCUCCCCUCCUUGUUUUACGUUAAUGGUCUUCUUACCCUGCAUUAGUACUAUAUGAGAUUUCCAUAACUGUAUCCCCCUUCAAACAACGCAAGGAUUUCCUCCCCCUGGGUCCCCUCAUACCAUUGUUCCCAUCUGCCCUCCCCACCUCCCUCAUUUGGUUCCAUGCUCCACCUUCCUCUCCUGUCACCCUCUAUCCCCUCCACCUAUCACCUGCCAGCCUCUGUCGCUAUCCCCACUCUCCCCUCCUCCAUCUGCCUAUCACCCCUCCUCACCCGGAUCAACCGAUCACCUGAGGGCCCCACCUCUUCAACCAGGCUGUCCAAGAAGAGCACGGUGACCUGCCUCAAACACUGUCACCCAGUAGCACUCGUAUCCACGGUGAUCAAGAGGUGAACUGGAAAAUGUGGAGCUCCGGUAAGGUUUGGAGUCGGGAUUUAGACGGAGUCCAGCAGCGUAAACCAAGUAGAAAAUCUGCAAAAUAAUACUUCAAGUGAACCGUUCCUUUAAUAAACUAAUCAAACAUUCACUCUUGUUACGUAAAACAGUGGGUGAAUUUAGACCCUGGAAUCCUUUAUCGUGCAAGUGAAGAUCUGUUUUGUCUGGAAAAAAUGAAUACCACAUUCCAAAUUAAAUACAGAAACAAGAUAACGCUGGAACCCUCGUCGUUACUGUUGAUCCUGCAUAGCAGGCUGGACAGCAGUCUUCUCGGCCUUUGCCGAACGGAUUUCAAUGAACAGAAUUAUAACCUGCCAGCAAAUGGGUAAAGUAGCCCUGCGGAGGUAGAACCAUCUAUCACCAAACCACUGAGUUAAACAGCGUUACGACAAUGAUUGAUACAGUUCCAAGGUGAAUGGGACGAUUCUCUCAAAGAGGGCGCACGGUGAUUGAAUGAACUCUGCCAGCAUCACAUGAUGAACCACGGCCAUUAAAGGCCAGUUUCAUCAGAUUAGCAGUUGUGCUGUGGAUCCGAGUGAUUUGUAGAAGCUCCACACUAGACAGACAGUUAAAAGCAAUGUUAUUCUACAUAGAUAAUGGUCGCCAUUGACUUUGUCUGAGAUUUGGAAUACUGUAUACAGAUCUGAUCUUUCUGUUAAAGGAAUAGUGUGGUUAAACUAUAAAUGAGUCCAGACAACUGGACGACUGCAUCUACAAGGAGCGCUGCCACAAGAAAGCAGGAUCCAUCAUCAGUGACCCUCACCAUCCAUCCCAUACUCUCUUCUCACUGCCACCAUCGGGCAAGAGGCACAGGAGCCUUAGGUCCCACACCACCAGGUUCAGGAACAGUAAUUACCCCUCAACCAUCAGGUCCCCACACCACCAGGUUCAAGAACAGUUAUUACCCCUCAACCAUCAGGUCCCACACCACCAGGUACAGGAACAGUUAUUACC